CAUACGUUCUGCAUAAGAAAGAAAAAGCUGGGAAGAAACUUGAAAGGGCUUUUUUCUAUGCAGCGUGACUAAAAAAACGUUGUGUGUGGAACCAUCAUUCGUCUUUUUGAGUAUGUAGCUUUGGGAAGAAAACCAGAAGGCCCAGGACAUUGAACGGACACACAGUUUGAUGGACAGUAAGCUGUACUUGGUGUCUGGCAAGACCCUGAAUCAGUGAUCCAGUAGGAAAGAGCUCUGACAACAUCCGAAGCGUGAUGUUUGGCAUUUCCUCACGAAGAAUGAGUGUUGGGAAGGAAAACCAGUAGGGGAUCAUCUGGUUAGGAUGCAACUCAAAGACUGCUUCAGG